CAGCCCCCACUGCCUGGCUUCUAUGGCUAACUGGUGUGGCUGGCAGAUUUGCACUCUGAUCUUCAGAUGUGGUUGUCAAAGAGAGAAUUUUAUAUUCUUCAAAAAGCUGUUUUUGACAAGGAUCUCAUUAUACUGCUCUGGUUGGUCUCGAACCCAGACUUCCUGUCUCAGUCUCCCAAAUAAAGGAUAACUGGUGCACACUACUGUA